ensembl:misc_RNA Metazoa_SRP Metazoan signal recognition particle RNA
GCUGGGUGUGUUGGCGCACACCUGUAAUCCCAGCUACUCAGGAGGCUGAGGCUGGAGAAUCGCUUGAACCCGGGAGGCAAGGGUUGCAGUGAGCCGAGAUCACGCCACUGCACUCCAGCCUGGGUGACAGAGUGAGACUCUGUCUCAA